AGAGUUUGAUCCUGGCUCAGAAUCAACGCUGGCGGCGUGCCUAACACAUGCAAGUCGAACGAGAAAGGGGAGCAAUCCCUGAGUAAAGUGGCGCACGGGUGAGUAACACGUGACUAACCUACCCUUGAGUGGGGGAUAACUGAGGGAAACCUUAGCUAAUACCGCAUAAUACCCACGGGUCAAAGGAGCAAUUCGCUCGAGGAGGGGGUCGCGGCCGAUUAGUUAGUUGGCGGGGUAAUGGCCCACCAAGACGAUGAUCGGUAUCCGGCCUGAGAGGGCGCACGGACACACUGGAACUGAAACACGGUCCAGACUCCUACGGGAGGCAGCAGUGGGGAAUUUUGCGCAAUGGGGGAAACCCUGACGCAGCAACGCCGCGUGGAGGAUGAAGUCCUUCGGGACGUAAACUCCUUUCGAUCGGGACGAUUAUGACGGUAC
rnacentral:rRNA from 1 species